UAACAUGAGAGUUUGAUCCUGGCUCAGAACGAACGCUGGCGGCAUGCUUAACACAUGCAAGUCGAACGGUUAUGAGACAGAUUUAUCUGUUUUGUAAUAGUGGCAAACGGGUGAGUAACGCGUGGGAAUGUACC
rnacentral:rRNA from 1 species